rfam:Ovis aries breed Texel chromosome 18, whole genome shotgun sequence.
UCCCUGGUGGCUCAGAUGGUAAAGCGUCUGCCUGCAGUGCGGGAGACCUAGGUUCGAUUCCUGGAUCUGGAA